rnacentral:rRNA from 1 species
UACGGAGGGUGCGAGCGUUGUCCGGAAUCAUUGGGCGUAAAGGGCGCGUAGGCGGCUUCUCAAGCGUGCGGUGAAAGUCAGGGGCUCAACCCCUGAUCGGCCGUGCGAACUGGGGGGCUGGAGCACUGUAGAGGCAGGCGGAAUUCCUGGUGUAGCGGUGAAAUGCGUAGAUAUCAGGAGGAACACCGGUGGCGAAGGCGCACAUCUGGCCCGAUACUGACGCUGAAGCGCGAAAGCUAGGGGAGCAAACGGG